rnacentral:rRNA from 1 species
GGAUCAAGGAAUCGGUCAUGCCUCGGUAUGUACUGGUUUUAUUGGUUCUCACCUUCUAAAGAACCAUAAUGUCAUUUAUUUGGUGUUAUGGGGAAUUAGGACUGUUACCUUGAAAAAAUUAGAGUGUUUAAAGCAAGCUUACGCUUGAAUACAUUAGCAUGGAAUAAUAGAAUAGGACUU